GAUGAACGCUGGCGGCGUGCCUAAUACAUGCAAGUCGAGCGAACGUACGAGAAGCUUUCUUCUCUGAUGUUAGCGGCGGACGGGUGAGUAACACGUGGAUAACCUACCUAUAAGACUGGGAUAACUUCGGGAAACCGUAGCUAAUACCGGAUAAUAUUUUGAACCGCAUGGUUCAAAAGUGAAAGACGGUCUUGCUGUCACUUAUAGAUGGAUCCGCGCUGCAUUAGCUAGUUGGUAAGGUAACGGCUUACCAAGGCAACGAUGCAUAGCCGACCUGAGAGGGUGAUCGGCCACACUGGAACUGAGACACGGUCCAGACUCCUACGGGAGGCAGCAGUAGGGAAUCUUCCGCAAUGGGCGAAAGCCUGACGGAGCAACGCCGCGUGAGUGAUGAAGGUCUUCGGAUCGUAAAACUCUGUUAUUAGGGAAGAACAUAUAUGUAAGUAACUGUGCACAUCUUGACGGUACCUAAUCAGAAAGCCACGGCUAACUACGUG
rnacentral:rRNA from 1 species